AAAAUUUGGAGUGAGCCCAUGGUCUUUAAAUUAUUGAUGUUGAAUCCAGUGACUUCAGCAUUAAUGUCUUUGGAUUUAAUUGUUCUGAAGACUGGAACUCACAACAGGAAGAUAAAUUAUUACAGUCUUGGUGCAGAUUUGCCUCCUUCCCUGAGAUGGAAAAUUUACACGAACUAGAAAAUUUAUGUGUGACUUCUCCUUAUUUUCUGGCGUGACUUCCCCCAAAUAUCCGGCAAACUGUGUGGUGGAACUCAUUUGAAGAUAUUGAUAGACAGUAACCGACAUUUAAUGUAAGUAUUGC
rnacentral:lncRNA from 1 species